UGCCAGCAGCCGCGGUAAUACGGAGGGUGCAAGCGUUAUCCGGAUUUAUUGGGUUUAAAGGGUGCGCAGGCGGAUUAGUAAGUCAGUGGUGAAAGCCCGGGGCUCAACCCCGGAACUGCCAUUGAUACUGCUUCUCUUGAAUAUAGUUGAGGUGGGCGGAAUGUGUCAUGUAGAGGUGAAAUUCAUAGAUAUGACACAGAACACCGAUUGCGAAGGCAGUUCGCUAAACUAUUAUUGACGCUCAGGCACGAAAGCGUGGGGAGCAAACAGGAUUAGAUA
rnacentral:rRNA from 1 species